rnacentral:rRNA from 1 species
CACUCCUACGGGAGGCAGCAGUGGGGAAUUUUACGCGAUGGGGGAAACCCUGACGUAGCGACACCGCGUGAGCGAAGAAGCCCUUUGGGGUGUAAAGCUCUGUCAGCUGGAACGAAAACAAUGACGGUACCAGCAGAGGAAGCAUCGGCUAACUACGUGCCAGCAGCCGCGGUAAGACGUAGGAUGCGAGCGUUGUCCGGAUUUAUUGGGCGUAAAGAGUUCGUAGGUGGUUUGUUAAGUUUGGUGUUAAAGAUCGGGGCUCAACCCUGGGACUGCACUGAAUACUGGCAGACUCGAGUGUGGUAGAGGCUAGUGGAAUUCCCAGUGUAGCGGUGAAAUGCGUAGAUAUUGGGAAGAACACCGGUGGCGUAGGCGACUAGCUGGGCCAUAACUGACGCUGAGGAACGAAAGCCAGGGGAGCGAAUGGGAUUAGAAACCCGUGUAGUCCCAUGAU